CAACAGUGAAUAUCUGAUAAGUUCCCUAUCUGAGGACAAUAUAUCUAUAAUGUAUUUUUGCAAGUAGGAGUUGGACUAGGAGCUUGCUCCACCCACUCCACGCAUCAACCUGGUAUUGCAGUACUUUCAGGAAUGGUCC
rnacentral:snRNA from 1 species